CUACAGGGGGUAGUUCCAUCCAAUCAAGUGUCGGAAAGCCCGGCCUGUCCCCGAGAGUGUAGCCAAUGGAACACGACUCCGGCAACACACCCGCCCUGAUCCACUGGGAACAAACCGCUCUGAGCCCUGAGGUGGGACCCUGAUCCCGGCGCCCAGAGCAAAUGAAGUCCGGCCGGAGCUGUGUCACAAAGUGAGAGGCUAUCGAGGCAGAUGAACCCUGAAAGUCAUAUAUUGAAGAACCACAAGACAGAAGGAGGCUGAGUUUCUGGGUCACUGUCAGACUAGAAAUGUUUAUGUGGACUGUUAGAGCCUGGCUGCUCUUUGCCACCUGGUCCCUCAACCACCUGGGGAGGCUUCUGUGAUAGCCUUCCACCACUCCAGUGCACACUUGUAGCAUGAUAGAAUUUUAGAUACGGGUGGAUCCAGGGAAUUUUCUGUUCUGCAGUUUCCAAGAGGGAAUUCUGAGGCAUCAAGAAAGAGGUA